AUUGAACGCUGGCGGCAUGCUUUACACAUGCAAGUCGAACGGCAGCGCGGGCUUCGGCCUGGCGGCGAGUGGCGAACGGGUGAGUAAUGCAUCGGAACGUGCCCAGUAGUGGGGGAUAGCCCGGCGAAAGCCGGAUUAAUACCGCAUACGACCUGAGGGUGAAAGCGGGGGACCGAAAGGCCUCGCGCUAUUGGAGCGGCCGAUGUCGGAUUAGCUAGUUGGUGGGGUAAAGGCUUACCAAGGCGACGAUCCGUAGCUGGUCUGUGAGGACGACCAGCCACACUGGGACUGAGACACGGCCCAGACUCCUACGGGAGGCAGCAGUGGGGAAUUUUGGACAAUGGGGGCAACCCUGAUCCAGCCAUGCCGCGUGCGGGAAGAAGGCCUUCGGGUUGUAAACCGCUUUUGUUCGGGAAGAAAUCCUCUGGGCUAAUACCCCGGGGGGAUGACGGUACCGGAAGAAUAAGCACCGGCUAACUACGUG
rnacentral:rRNA from 1 species